rnacentral:lncRNA from 1 species
AACGAUGAGAAUCAAAUGAGUUGAUAAAAAAAAUAUUCUGAAGGAAACAGGCAAACCUCCAUUAUAUAUAAUAGCCUGAUACAAAGUAUAAUUGGUACCACAAUAUUGAUUUUGAGAAGUUCUUACAAAAAAAAAAUCGUCUUUGGCUGAGAGUAAUUAUCAGAGUCGCAAUUUGUCGCAGAGAUAACUGGUGGCGGGCGCUAGUGGAGGCGUUCAAGUUCGAUCGCCAGGGAGGAUUGCUCCAAGGACCUUGUGUGCGAGACAUCGCUGCUGGAAAUUAUUGCUAUUGAUUAUAGGUGGUUGCUGCAAGUCGAUCACCGAUGGUCAGAGAAGAGCUUUCAUCAUUGACGCUGCAAAUCGCGAGUAACAUUCUCACCAACGAUGCAAAUCGCAAGCAACAUUCUCAUCAAAGACGCAAAUUGCAAGCAGAAGACCCAUGGAAAGUUCGUCCAUUACUCAGCCAAGGAAAGAUGGGUGCUAGAAGAGAAGAUGAUAGAAGAUAAGGAAAUAAAAGAGACGAAUAGAAAGAGAAAAAGGGAAAAGAUAUGAUUUUGGUUAAGGAAUAUGAGGAUAAUUUUAUAAAUUUUUUGAUACUCUCUCGUUUCACCGAUAAUUACACUAGUAAACUAACUGAAUAUUUAAUAUAAAAAAAAUUUAAUAAUUUUAUUUUAAAAUUAUAAUGUAAAUACACUAAUUAUCAAACAUCAAAUAAGAAAUAGUUCUGCAAGCUAGUGAAUAGGGAGGUUUACUCUUCCAAGUACAAUUCCUAAAUUUACUUUAUAAUUAAUAAUUAUUAUUAUUAUUAUCCUUCAUGCUAAUUAUUUAAUUAUAUUUAAAAUAUUAUUAUAUUUUAUAUAGUAAAGUUAAAAAUAUAAAUUAAAAUUAUUAAUAGAUACAGUCAAAGUAUUUAUAAUUCUCUAAUUUAUAAUAUGAUAAGCAAAGGGAGGAUGUAAUAUUUUAUAAGAAUUACGUGAUUUGUGAUGCCAAUUAAAAACCUCUAAUGUAUUAUAUAAUUUCUGGAGCAUAGGAGGUCAAAUUUGCCUUGGGCGAAAUAUCUUAAUGAAGAUAUCAAUCAUAUUUGAAGGCUUUGAAAAUUACAAAAGCAAAAGCCCAAGAACUAUCUCCAAUUAAAAGCAAUAUAUUAAACCUAUUGGAAAUUUAUAAGACAGUUCAGUGUUUGCUUUGCUUCUAUAUGACCAUGACUUUUAACAUAUAAUUUGAUGCCAUCAUAAUCAUAUUCUAUAAAUCCUUUUAUUUUCAUUGUAUCUGAUUUUAUACAACACCCACUAGAGAUUAGCUCUUCAACCUUGGUUUAAUUUCAGUAGGGGAAAAUUUAUGUCGGUUUUGUAAUCGAUUGGGUGAAUCAUCUGCCACUUGCUUAUACAUUGCUAUUUUUCUUUAAUUGGCAGAAUCUUGCUUUUGCUUCUAGACAAUUAAUGUAGCCUAGUUCUUGAAUGGGUAAGGAGGAAAGGAAACUUGUAGUUGUGUUUUACGUCUGCUAUAUAUUAUGUGGUCAGUGUAGCUGUUAAGAGAUGAUAUGGAAGUCCCUGUUAGAUGUAUCAUCUUUUACAGAUGGCAAAUUGAAUGAAAGUGUUGAUGAGUCAUUUUCAUGAUGAAGGAAAAUAGCAUGAAGAGCUGGAAUAAUGACAAAGCUGCAAGAAUGAAUAUCACAUGGUCCAGUCCCCACCACCGUCACAUUCUCUCAAAUCAUGAAAGCAUCACUAGGGAAUCCCAGUAUUGCUGGUGUAGUUUUAAACUUCAGAAAUUGGCUUUCCCCUUUGAACAGAAAAUAUUUUCUCUUAACGCUCCAAACACUAAAAGGUAAUUAAGUAAAAAAUGUUUUUUUUUUUAAAUAAGUAUUUUCUAUGAAUGAAAUGGAAAUUUAGUAACCAAAAACAUUACUUUUUCUAAAUUAUUUCUAAAUAAAAGUUUUCAAUAAUUUAUGUUUGUAUUAUUUCUCCAUUAAGAAUGUUAAAUCGUAUUAUUUUAAGUGAAUUACCAUAUUUUCAACAUAAAAAUAAGUUUGUAUCAUUAAUUUGUUAUAAAAACCACAAACCAUGCCAACUCAAAAAAAAAAAGAAACCACAAACCAUGAUUUUUACGCGCUCAACAUUGACAGUUUCCACGCGUAUUUGAAUUAAUUACUAAUUACACAUAUGAUAAAUAGUUAAUAAAAAUAAUUAGGAUUGGAUAAAAAAACCCGAAAUUUAACAACUAUUUUGAUUUAUACUUUAUAUUUAUUUAUAAAAAUUUAAUCCAAUUAAUUUUUUUAAAUAAUUUUUUUGUUUAAAUGAAAAAUUUUAAAUAAUUUUAAUUUUAAAAAAAUAAAAUUCUUGCAUAAUUUAAAAAAAUUAUUUAAAUUUUUUAUUAUAAAAUAAAUUAUAUGGAUAAAUUUGAAUGUAACAAAUAUUGAUGAUCCCUAAAAAUUGCAAUAUAUUGCACAGACUUGAUGCCUAUGAUAUAGCAAAAGUGUUAAAUUUUAGCAAUUCUUUUUAAUUAAAAUAUAUUAGCAUUCAAUUGAAUUAUAAGAUCAAAUCUAAAAAUAAAAAAUUACAUAGACAAACUGAACAUAAUCAUAAUGGAAAAUGAAAUGGCUUGAUGAACAGUUUGACGUGAAGGUGAGGGGAAGUUAAUAUCAUCCCUAGAAGGAAGACCGACGAAUUCCAAAGAAGACUCACUACCCAGACAACAGAAUACUUGUAAGUCAGAAUUCCUUGGGUUUACUCUCUUUAUAAGUCUUUCACCUUUUUUUAUUAUUUUUUUUCAAAUAACUGUUUUUAAUUUAUUUUCCUUUUAAAUCUUACAUUAAUCCUAAUUCUACUGCAAACUAACUAAUUCGUGUCUGAAAAUUGUGUGCAGUAUAUGUAUAAAUGAUUUGUAUUUGUUCCUCUAUCUAUACCUCCAUCCUUGAAAAUUUAUAUUAAUAAUUAAAUUAUUUACAAAAUAAAAUUUGAAUUUAUUACUAAUAUUAUUUUUUAAAUUUAAAUUUAAUUAUAGAAUUAAAAUUUUAUAAUUAAAUUAAAUACUAAAAAUAUAAUAUUUAUAUUUUAAUGGAGACGGUUAUUUAUAUUUUAAUAUAGACAAUGAUAUUUAUUUUUCUUAAUUUUUUAAUUAAAACUUUAAUAAUUGAAGUUUUAAUAGAAAGCUAUUAAAAAUUAAAACAGUUAAAUAAGAAAUACAGGAAAAAAGGUGAUACGUGAAGGGAAAAUGCAUAGUGGCGGUGAUGGUGAAUAAAAAAAUGAAAGUAGUUGAUGAAAUCGAAAAAGAGACUGUGGAUACGUGGUAGAAAAAGAGAGAUACAUCGAGAAGGAGUAGGGGUUACGUGGUGGUAUCAGAUAUAGGGGUUGCAGACGGAGGGUGAUGGAGGGGUUACGUGGUGGUAUCAGAUGUGGUGCUGCAGACAGAGUGACAGUAGUUUGAAUAAACUGUUGCGGGAGUUGGGGUUGCAGUGGAUCUUAUUGCUUUGCGAGGGAGGUUGGUUUGGUUUUCUGACAUAAAUUUGAGGCGACUUUUGGACGGAAAUAGUGCACCAAUUUUGACAGUCUGUUUUUGGAAAUGUAAGUAACAUUUUUAAUUCUUUUUAUAAAACAUUGUAAAAACAUAUUUCUCAAGAAAAAAUAUUUUUUAUUAUUUAAUUAUAAUUUUAAAAAUUAAAUAAAGUUAAUAAAAUUUUAAAUUACAGGAUUUUAAAUUAAAAAAACAUUCAAAAAAUAUUUUUUUUAAAAAUUAAUUUUAUUUUAUAAAAAAUAUUUUUAUUUAUCAAUUACUUUAAAUAUUUUCUGAAAAAAUAGUUUUAGAAAGUAAUAUAUAUAACCAUUAUUUUGCUUAGAAUAAUUGUGAAAUUUAUGAUUAACUCAGUUAUUUUCAGAUAUUCAGUCCAAUCAAGGAAGAUGAAUUUAAAUAAUUGUAAUUGACUUUAAUACAAAUUAUUGAAAAUAAUAGCAUAAUAAAUUCGAAUCAGAUUUAGAUUUUAUUAUAAUAUAUUUAUCGCUGAAUUCGUUUAUAUUUAUAAUUCGGAUAAUUUAUAUUAAUUUUUAAUUGAAUUUGAUGUUUCAAGUAUGUUAAUAUGAAUGGGAUUGUAAUAUAAAUAUAAAUUUUAAAUAUUUUAAUUUUCACAAAUAUUCUAUUCAUUUGGAAAUCAAUUUUAAUUUAGAGUAGAAACGAUUCCACUUUUAAAAUUUUAGAGUUAAAUUUUAAAUUCAUUUCGGUAUAAUUGAUUAUUUUUAAAAUUAUAAUAAUAUCGUAAAAUGAACUUUAUAAAUUUUUUUGUUAAAAGAACUCUUAAUUAAGCAGUAACAUCAUAUUAAACUAUAUUAUUAAGUAUCACUAUACUUUUCCGUUAUAUAGAUGAGAUUUUUCUCCUUAAAAUGAGUCAAAGCAAAGGAAAUUGUAGAAAAAGAAGGAGGUAAAAGGGUUGUCUGAAUUUUUAAUCUCUAAAAUUUAACGUAAUUAAUACUUCUAUCUCUCUAUUUGGGCGACUCAAUACUUAAGUCUCUCAUUUUCUCUACUGUUCAAAUUCGUAUUCCUUUCGUUUAAAUUCGUAAUCAUUCCAUUCAAAAUAAUUAUUUGAUUAAAAAAUUUAAGAUGAGAUGUGAAAUUUAUUUCAAAAAAUACUCUUAAUGAACUUACUAAAAUACCUCUCAACAUGAAAUUUCUCUAUUUUUCUCUGUUUCUUUUCGGCUAUUAUUUGAUUCUCUUUAUUAUUAUUAUUUUUCUAUUGGUAUCUCAAACUCUAAUAAAAAGAAGCUCAAGGCUAAUAUUCAUUAGGCAUUGUAAUGACUCCAGAUUUUUUAAGAAUAUAUAUAUAUUUACGUUCUCUCUAAUAUUAAUAUUGAGUUUCAACUCUCUCUUUCUUUCUUUUUUUUUUUAAUAAUUUAUUAAUUUUUAGAGAAAAUAUUUAGAGAAAAUAAUUUAUUAAUUUUUCAUUCUUAAUUUAAUUGUAAUUUUAUUAAAAAUAAAGGAUAUUAAUAAAUUUAUCAUAAUAGUUUUAAACUUUAGAAAUUGGCUUUCCCCUUUGAACAGAAAAUAUUUUAUUUUAAAAAAAAGUAUUUUCUAAUUUCUAUGAAUGAAAUGGAAAUUUAGUAACCGAAGAAUUACUUUUCCUAAAUUAGUUCUAAAUAAAAGUUUUCAAUAGUUUAUGUUUGUAUUAUUUCUCCAUUAAGAAUUUUAUAUUGUAUUACUUUAAGUGAAUUACCAUAUUUUCAACAUAAAAAUAAGUUUGUAUCAUUAAUUUAUUAUAGAAACCACAAACCAUGAUUUUUACGCGCUCAACAUUAACAGUUUCCACGCGUAUUUGAAUUAGUUACUGUUGGACCUAAAUGUCCUAAUCCUUGUUUUGAUGAUUAAUAAAUAAUUGGUGUGCUACUAAUUAUUUCCAAGAGUGUUUGUAUUGAGCUUGCAGGUCCCUUAUUGAAACAAAUGAUAUUGCUUCAAUCACAAAAGUGAAAAGUGCCAAUUUUGGAAGCAUACUACAAGAAAGGGAUCAUAAAAUAUUUUUAUUUAUUAUGCUUGUCAUUCUAUUCAUUGUGAUUUUCAAGUAAUUGAUUGUGAUGGCUCAAGGUUCUUUCAUUUCUAAAAGUUCUUUUAGAUAUGGCCAAUUUUUUUUUGAGUACUUGACCUUCAGGGACCAAAAUGAAAUUUUCCAAAAAAAGUGCUUUUGAAAAUAUUUUUCAUCAAAUUGAAAGUUCUAAAAAUAUAGGUUAUAAAAAUUCAAACGGAUUGAAAAAUGGAUUUUUGUAGCCUAAGUUAUGAUUUUUCAAAGUUUUAAAGAAGAAUUUUUGUGCCCCCUAAACACAACCUUCGGCUUCCGAAAGUCAGGGACAGAAACGAAAGUCCCCUAUGUUCGGCCGCCGAACAUUGACUUUCGGCCGCCGAAAGUGGGCUUUUCAACCAGCCCCCAAAGUGUAACCUUCGGCUUCCGAAAGUGAGGGACAGAGACGAAAGUCCCACACUUUCGGCCGCCGAACAUUUAACCUUCGGCCGCCGAAAGUGUGUUUUGGGUCUGCCUCCGAAGCCUAAAGUUCGGCUUCCGAAAGAGAGGAACAGAGACGAAAGUCACCCAAGUUCGGCCGCCGAACUCUGACUUUAGGCCGCCGAAAGUUCUUUUUUAAAGGAAUUGUUUCUUCACCUCAAAUGGUUCGGCCGCCGAACUCUAAGCUUAGGCCGCCGAACCUGAGUUUUUUCUGGGCACGGUAUAACGGUUAUUUCUGAACAUAAACGGCUCUAUUUGCAUUUAAUGCACCCCCAACGGCCAUAUUUAUGAUAGAACUAUAAAUACAACUUGUUUUUGUUGUUGUAAGGUUACAACAACCAUCUAAGCAAAUAUUUAUUGAGAUUACAGCUUUUUUCAUUCCCUCUCUCUCAAAACCUUGAGCCAAAGCAUUGAUUUCUUGAAAGCUUGUUUUGAGUUGUAAUUGAUUGGCUUCUCUGAGUGAGUAAAGGUUGAUUGAGAGAUUCUGUUGUUGUGAGUGUGGCAUUGAGCAAAGAAUUGCUCUUGAGUGGAAAAAGAGAUUUGUAAAGAGUAAAGGCUUGCUCUAAGAUUGUAAGGGUUUUGAUCUUCACCCAAAGAAGAUUUGAUAGUGGAGUUGAACUCUCAAGUGGACCUUGAGGAGAGGACGUAGGCUUGGAUAGCUGAACCUCUAUAAAUCUUUGUGUUGAUUUUUCUCUUCCCUAUUCUCUUCUAAUUUCUUGUCUUUGCCAUUAAAUUUUUAUAAACCCAAUUCACCCCCCCUCUUGGGUUGCCUGAAGGGACAACAGUUACUAAUUAGACAUACGAUAAAUAGUUAAUAAAAAUAAUUGGAAUUGGAUAUAAAAAAAAUCCGAAAAUUAACAACUAUUUUGAUUUAUACUUUAUAUUUAAAAUUAAUUAUUUUAUAAAAAUUUAAUCCAAUUGAUAUUUUUUAAAUAAUUUUUUUGAAAUGAAAUUUUUUAAUUACUUUUAAUUUAAAAAUAUAUUAUUUAAAAAAAAUUAUUGCAUAAUUUAAAAAAAAUAUCUAAAUUUUUUUAUUAUAAAAUAAAUUAUAUGGAUAAAAUUUAAUGUAAUAUUUUUAAUGGACUGCAUUCAAAAUUAGUAGAAAUAGUUAAAUAAAUUGAAAUAGUAAAUGAAUAUAUAUGUAAAUGAAAAUAAUAAUUAGAAAGAUAUUAUUACCCCCACUAGUUGUAACUUAACAGGUUCUUUUAUUAUGUCCCACUUGUGACACCUUUUGCAAACCAUUGUGGCAUUCAUUUUCCUCUUUAGAGCUGAACCUGUCUCACCAUCUUCUCUCAUUCUUGUCUUUUUUGGUUUGUCCGGUUGCCUUUUCAAAGGAGGGGGCUGUAUUGUUGGGUGAUCAUCAUCUGGUUGCAAAUCCCUUUGUGGUAUGGGAUGUAUUGCAUGUUGAUGUACCUUCUCGCAUAUAGAAAUGGUGAAACAUUCAUCACAAAAGUCUUCAAUCUUAACUCUCUUGUAUCUUAUUACUUUAACAACAUGCUUGCAUGACAAGCCUGAAACAUCCCACCAACCACAUGAAUAAGUUCUCAUUUCAAGUGAAACUCCAAACCUAUAAGGACCUUCGUGACAUUCAAAUUCAUUAUUUCUUCAAGGAAUUAACUUCACACAUCUACUAUAGUUUAUAAUUUGCCUCAAAGUCUUUUGAGUUCUUGGGGUCACUUUACCUUGCCAAGUUGCAGCCUUCUCGUACCUUUAAUGGAAUCUAAGCAUACAUCUCUGCCUUACCUUCUCAAUAAUUUGAAUGAUUGGCAAACCCUUUAGAUUUUCAAUCCAGCUGUUAAAUGAUUCAGUGAAAUUGUUGGUGUAGUUGUCACACUUUGCUGUUGUCUAACAUGCAUGUCUUGACCAAUGUGAAAGUGGUAUCUUCAGCAACCAAUCAUAAGGCUUCUGCUCCUUAAAUUUCAUAUUUUUCAUAUGUAGCCAAAACUCAUAUCCAUGAGUAGUUUUGGCUGUAUUCCAGAAGUCCUUGUUUAAUGUCAACCCAAGAAACUCCUUCUUAAAAUUAAUGUAUAAGUGUCUACAGUUAGGGGUGAGCAUUCGGCCGGUUCAGUUUAAAACCGAAUCGAACCGAAUAAAUCGAAAGCUAAAAUUUUAGUAUUUAUAAAAAUUGAAUCGAACCGAUUUUGAUCAGAAAUCGAAUCGAACCGAACCGGUCUGAUUCAGUUCGAUUCAAUUCGGUUUGAUUAGUUUCGAUUUUUAAUAAAUUUUUUAUUUUUUACACUUUAUUUUUAAUAUUUUAAAAUUUAAUUAAAAUAUUUUAAUAUUAAUAUAAUUUAAUUUCUCUAUAUUAUUGAAAAUAACAUAUUAUUAUCACUAAUCGGUUCGGUUCGAUUUUUUUAAUUUUUUUCUGAUCAAAACCAAACCGAACCAAAAUAACUGAAAUUUUUAAAAUUAAAAACUGAACCGAACCGAAUUGAAUAAAAAAUCGAACCGAAUUUUGAAAUGAAUUCGAUUCGGUCGGUUUUUUCGAUUUGAACCAAAUACUGCUCACCCCUAUCUACAGCAAAACCUGUGAGCAACUGAAGGAAAUAUGUCCUUCACAGCUUCCUUUAAUCCCUGCAAAAAAAAGAAGUUUUCAUUAUAUAAAGUCUAUUGAAAUAAUUGUGAAAGGAAUAUAAUGCAGAUAAUGAACAUAUAUAUUUUGUCUAUCAGACAUUAUUGUCCAUAGUCUGUCAUCUGUAUCUUACCCAAUACGUGAUUCCAUGCAUUGUAGAAACCACCUCGAGCUAUCUCCACAUUUAAAUUCAACUACUGCAAAAGCUAAGGGCAACACUCCCCUAUUGCCAUCCAAUACAAUAGCACAUAGGAAUAUCCCACCAUAAAAUCCCUUAAGAUGACAUUCAUCCAACACAAAAAAGGGGUCUACAUAUAUCUAUGAAUCAUGCUCUAACAGCAUCAAACAUGAUAAAUACUUUCUUGAAGACCCUAGGUUCAUUACAAUUAACAGGUUCAGUACUUUGAAUUUUCACCUCAUUACCAGGAUUGAACAUCUACAAGAAGUGUACAUACUUAUGCAAUUGUUUGUAAGAGUCUUCAUGCAAACUAAUAUUUUUUUCUUUUGCCUUACAUUUGGUUUUAUACAACUGCCAUAUAGGGGGCUAACACCCCACUUUUCCUUCAAUUCAUUUCGCAUCAAUUCAUAACUCAUUUUAAUAUCAGCUCUCAAAUUACUCUUAAGUUUUUCAGCAAUCCAAAUGCAAGUAUGGUUAUAUUUUGGUUGUCAAUUGGUCUUAUACAUGUAUAUUCAUCUUGCAACGUUUUAAUCAUAAAUGUAUUCUUGUCACGUAAAACAGAAGCAUAAAAUCUCCAAGGACAAGUAUCAUUGUCACAUACUGCGGUAACUCUUUUAUUGUCAUUUUUCUUUCUAAUUAUUGUAAAGUCCCCUUUGACUGCAUAGUCUCUAAGUGCAUCUCUAACUACUUGGACAUUAUUGUAACGACCCGGAAACCGGACUGCUACCGGCGCUAGGAUCCAGAUCAGCUUAAGGCCGCCGGGACCCGUAGCAAGCCUAACAUACAUCCUGAAUAACCGGUAUAAUCCCAUAUAUGAUCAAAUAUAAACAUAAAAACUUUAAAAUCUUUUAUAAAAAACUUGACCAAUUUUAAAUUGUAUUUCUUCCCCUUCUUGUCAAGAAAAUUGAUCUGAGUAUAAUCUUUUUAAAUGAUUUUUCCAUUUUCUCUGACGACCCUGAUCAUCUACAGUUUUAGCUUCUUCAUCAAUAUUGUCUUCAUCUCGGCUAUGAAAUCAGAGAAAGGGAUAUAAUCACUUUCACCCAUCAUUUCAUCCUCCAUCUCAUCCUCUUUACACAAUUCUUCAUUAUUAUUGUUUUCACUAUUAGCAUCCACAGAAUCAGUACCAACAGAAUCAACAUCUACAGAAUCUGCACCAACUUCUUCUACAUUUUCCUCCUCUCCUUUUAUGUUUUCUUCUUAUCGGAGCUAGGCUCACGGACGACCCUCCCUGUUCCGUGCACUAGGACCGGGAUUUAAGAUAAUGAACCGGGCAACUCAGGAAAGCGACAGGGGUUUUGGCCCAGCACUAUUUUCUUGAGCUCGAUCUUGUCCAAAAGUGGUGAAGCCCAACGGUCAUCAACAAUCUUAUACUAAUUUCAAUAUAAUUCCCACCAUUCUCAUUUUCAAAAAAAUUUUAAAAUUAACAAAGUUCCCCGUAUAAUCAACAAAUGACAUUACAUAGUGCCACUAAUUUUAUGCAAUCGAUAGAAGUGAUAAUAAUUAAAAUCUCCAUAAUGAUGAGAAUCAAAUGAGUUGAUAAAAAUAUAUUUUGAAGGAAACAGGCAAACCUCCAUUAUAUAUAAUAGCCAGAUACAAAGUAUAAUUGGUACCACAAUAUUGAUUUUGAGAAAUUCUUAUAAAAAAACAAAAAACGUCUUUGGCUGAGAGUAAUUAUUAGAGUCGCAAUUUGUCGCAGAGAUAACUGGUGGCGUGCGCUAGUGGAGGCGUUGAAGUUCGAUCGCGAGGGAGGAUUGCUCCAAGGACGUUGUGUACGAGACAUCGCUGCUGGAAAUUAUUGCUAUUGAUUAUUUGGUGGUUGCUGCAAGUCGAUCACCGAUGGUCAGAGUAGAGCUUUCAUCAUUGACGCUGCAAAUAGCGAGUAACAUUCUCACCAAAGAUGCAAAUCGCAAGCAACAUUCUCAUCAACGACGCAAAUUGCAAGCAGAAGACCCAUGGAAAGUUCGUCCAUUACUCAGCCAAGGAAAGAUGGGUGCUAGAAGAGAAGAUGAUAGAAGAUAAGGAAAUAAAAGAGACGAAUAGAAAGAGAAAAAGGGAAAAGAUAUGAUUUUGGUUAAGGAAUAUGAGGAUAAUUUUAUAAAUUUUU